rnacentral:rRNA from 1 species
AUUGAACGCUGGCGGCAUGCUUUACACAUGCAAGUCGGACGGCAGCACAGAGAAGCUUGCUUCUUGGGUGGCGAGUGGCGAACGGGUGAGUAAUAUAUCGGAACGUACCGAGUAAUGGGGGAUAACUAAUCGAAAGAUUAGCUAAUACCGCAUAUUCUCUGAGGAGGAAAGCAGGGGACCUUCGGGCCUUGCGUUAUUCGAGCGGCCGAUAUCUGAUUAGCUAGUUGGUGGGGUAAAGGCCUACCAAGGCGACGAUCAGUAGCGGGUCUGAGAGGAUGAUCAGCCACACUGGAACUGAGACACGGCCCAGACUCCUACGGGAGGCAGCAGUGGGGAAUUUUGGACAAUGGGCGCAAGCCUGAUCCAGCCAUGCCGCGUGUCUGAAGAAGGCCUUCGGGUUGUAAAGGACUUUUGUCAGGGAAGAAAAGGAUGUUGCUAAUAUCGACAGCUGAUGACGGUACCUGAAGAAUAAGCACCGGCUAACUACGUG